UACGUAGGGGGGCAAGCGUUGUCCGGAUUUACUGGGCGUAAAGCGCACGUAGGCGGAUUGUUAAGUCAGGGGUGAAAUCCUGGAGCUCAACUCCAGAACUGCCUUUGAUACUGGCAAUCUUGAGUCCGGAAGAGGUGAGUGGAACUCCUAGUGUAGAGGUGGAAUUCGUAGAUAUUAGGAAGAACACCAGUGGCGAAGGCGGCUCACUGGUCCGGUACUGACGCUGAGGUGCGAAAGCGUGGGGGAGCAAACAGG
rnacentral:rRNA from 1 species